rnacentral:rRNA from 1 species
UACGUAGGGGGCAAGCGUUGUCCGGAAUCAUUGGGCGUAAAGCGCGCGUAGGCGGCCCGGUAAGUCCGCUGUGAAAGUCCAGGGCUCAACCCUGGAAAGCCGGUGGAUACUGCCGGGCUAGAGUCCGGAAGAGGCGAGUGGAAUUCCUGGUGUAGCGGUGGAAUGCGCAGAUAUCAGGAGGAACACCAAUAGCGAAGGCAGCUCGCUGGGACGUUACUGACACUGAGGCGCGAAAGCGUGGGGAGCGAACAGG